rnacentral:rRNA from 1 species
UACGUAGGUGGCAAGCGUUGUCCGGAUUUAUUGGGCGUAAAGCGCCCGCAGGCGGCUUGAUAAGUUUCAGGUGAAAUCUCCCGGCUCAACCGGGAGGGUGCCUGGAAAACUAUCAGGCUUGAGUCAUGGAGAGGGAUGUGGAAUUCCCGGUGUAGUGGUGAAAUGCGUAGAUAUCGGGAGGAACACCAGUGGCGAAGGCGGCAUCCUGGCCAUGUACUGACGCUCAGGGGCGAAAGCGUGGGGAGCAAACCGGAUUAGAUACCCUAGUAGU